CAUCGUCCCCCCGCCGCCCCUCUCCUUCGAUCUGAUCUCCUUGGCGCCCCGCCGUCGCCGGCGACUCCUCGGCUCCUCGCAGUCGCCGUCACAUCAGACGCCGGCCACUCCUCCGCGGCCUCACGUUGUCGUCCUCUCCUUCGCAAGGAACACCCGACCCUUCCUCCGCGGCCUUGUGACGCCGACCACUCCUUCGUGGCCUCACGCUGCCCUCCUCUCCCUCCUUCCUUCGUCCAAGGCCAGGACUUCCCCUCCCUGACCCGAUCUGACGGAGAGAGGGCCAAGCCUUGCCACUCCAGUGGUCACUUUGGCCAAAUCCGGUCGGGGGAGCCACCGUAGAGCCUCAACGUCGGCGCAGCAGCAGCAGUCCUUGCGACGGUGGGUGCCGGAGCUCGUCAAGCAACUCGCCGUCGGCGGCCACGACCACCUCAUUCCCUGCCGUGUGUCUCCGUCAACUACUGUGGCAUUGACGACAGCGAGCUAGGAGCCUACGAGGUAGACGCCCUGCUGACUAUGUCGUCAAGGCCUCCACAUGGCUCCUCUUGCGGCAAACUGCUGGUUGUUUGCCAUGUCCUUGAUCACCCUAAUUUAAUCCAAGUCAGGGUAGUCUCUUGCAUUAAGCCAUCUGGCUCUGCUCUGCAAUUUCUCGAGAGAACGUUGUGGAGAACCUAACUCAUGGAUGCUUGGUUCAGUUUUUGGGAUGAAUUGAUGACAAGGAGAGCACGUUGGAAAUAGUGGAAGUGAAAACGGGAGAGGAUGAUGGGAACGAUCAAGUACAUCACAAUCAUCGGCUUCAUGUGGCACUCCUACACCAACGCAAUUCAGGUUUGAUAAUUGAUGAGGGUGGGUGCCAUGGUCGUCUAUGCUGGGCUUCUGCAUGAUCACAUCUUCUACAUGUUCGGUGCUGGAGUGGCUGAUCUUGUGGAAGGGUUACGUUUUCCUCUUCUCAUGGAUUUUGACCAUUGUUUUAGAGGGAUUCGGAUAAUGGUUCUGGUAGUUACUACAUUCAUAUUCUUUGGCAUCCUCAAGCUGUUGGCUGGAUCUAUUGCAAUUAUUGUGAUUUAAAUUAUGAUGGCCUGCAGCAUGCCUCCCUAUAUUUAAGGCAAAUGAUAAUGGAAGUACACCUUCAUGAACAAGCUAGCCGAGGUCUUGGAAUUCCAACCUAGGUAAACAAGUGAACUCAUUUAACGGUCUCCCCUUUUCUGGUGAUGCAGGUAUAGCUCAUUCAUUAAGGGCUACUCAGCUCUGUCUUUUUCUCUCUCUUUGGUGAUUGGAUUAUAUGCUACUCUGUGUUGAAGGAUCUGUUCAUGCUAAAUUUAACAAAUCUUAUCAUGUUUUCAUAAAUUAUCUAUUUGAUUACUCUACGUGGAAUGGUAAACAUUUGUAGCAUGAUCAGGGUUUGAUUAUUUUUAUCAGUGCACAUACCUUCAAAAAAUAAACCAAUGGGGCUAUCUUGUUCGUCUUUCUACUUAUGUAUGUAUACAUAUGGGAUGCUUUGUUAGUUCUGUUGUGCAAAUAACCAUUCUUUGUGUUGAUGAGCUAUGAUAAUGGCUCCCCAAAUUACAAUACUUGCUAAAUGUACACUUUUGUUGCAAUGAAAUCCUAUUUAUAAACAGUAUAUUUUCCUAAUGGAUUGUGAUUAAACUUUGUUGCUUUUACCCACUUUGGUGCUUCUUCAGUGUAUAUGUACUAAAUCGUAAAAUAAGAUGAUUGUAUAUUUUGCUUUAUAGUACACCGGUUCAUGAGAAGAAUGCUGAGAAGAUUCAGCUUGCUGUGCUAAAUGUCAUUCUGGCUUGACUCGAUAAUAUCGUGGUAACAUGGUGGAAUAUUUUAUUUUUUAUUGUAACAAACUGUAGUCAAAUUCAUCAGAUAUAUAUAUACUUCCAGGAUCGGAGGAACAAGUAGUUUUAGCCUUCUGUUUUCGAAUUCUUAGUUUUAACAUCUCUGUACUUGUUGAAGCUGUAUCUUCAACUCUACAUGAGCAUAGUGAUAUGCAGUAUAAAACAUCUCCAUUUUUUCCUUCUUUGGUGAGCAUGGAAUAUCCAAAUUGACAUCUAGAGAUAGAUAAGUUGGUAGGGUAAUGUUCACUAGCUUUUUUUAGGAUCAAGAUUGAUGUGUUAAUUUUCUUAUCAAAGGAUGAUUAACGGAAUCGUGGUAUUGCGGCCAAAAUAUACUCUCUUCAGUUUGUUGGUAAUGAGCAAAAUGUAGUCCUGCUGUUAAUGGGCUUUGGAUUUGUGCGUGAAAUACAUUGUUGCAUGCAUGUUUCCUAAGUGAAAAAUGUAAUGGUUCUGAAUAUAGCUGGAGAUGAAUUAUUUGCAGCAUCCAGGCAACAACAGUGGCAUGGAUACAGUUAACAGUACUAGCAAUUGAUGAUAUUGUCAUAGCAAUUUUAAUUUGGAAAAAAUAUGUGAGAGAUUAGUCUUUUCUUUUCUUUCAUGCAAUGAAGAGAGUACAAAGUAUACUACAAUUUUUUGUAACCCACACAAUGAUUCAAGAAGCAGGGCCAAACAGGACCAAUGAAGACGCAUACAGUACUGUUCUUCAUGAUAUGAUGUUAAUUUUUCCCCACAAAUGAAUUUAAUAUUAAAUUCUUUGUGAGACAACUACUAAAAUGAAGUAGUUUAUGGGUUUGAAAAUUCCAUGUAUUGUGCAUAUUUUUAUGUGCGUACUUGACUCAGAUGCAAGCUAUUCGCAGUACGUAUAUUCUGAAAGAAAACAUGACGUAGCUGCUAAAUGCUCUCUGAAACAUAGCAUGUUUUUUAAAAUACUCUAUUUGCUUUGAAUGAGGUUGCCUUUUGCUUUAAACAAUUAACUGCAUUCUGAAAUACUUUUAAAUUUGGCUAAGAUUAAGAGAUCUAGCAAAUGAGUCCAAGUCUCAAAACCAGGUGCAUCUUGAGUAUUUCUCCUCCACGGCGGGUUGUCCAUCUCCAUAUAUAGUGGAGUGUUGCUCUUUCAAAAACAUCUGGUCUAUUUGAAUGGCACAUUACUGUUCCUAGUCUCCAAGAACCAGGUACAUCUCUCUUGCCUUAGCCUCUUCUGAUUAUCCUUCCUGUUAUUAUGUAGGAAGCAGAUUACCAACCUUCCAAGCUCUAUAUUCAGCCUUCCUUUCUCAUUGCUCAUACAAGUUCAAUAUAUGAACAUUCUUGUUACACUUAGUCCUUCUAGUUUCUUGAGAUAACCAUGUCUCAAUUUUUUGAACAGCUACAGUACCUGUACAGUAAGAAUCGAACUGCAAAGGAGCUGUACCAUCUGUUGUUUCAUGACUCCCUUAUGCCCUUGCGAGCAGCGGCCACCAUUGGGCAGGGACAGAGCCGUUGAGCGCCCUUGCUCGGUGGUCCACCACCCUUCUCGCCUCCCGUUCGACGCCUCUUCUCCACACCCCUUCGUUCGAUGUGCUUCGACUCAUGAUGUACCAGAGUGGAGUCAGUAUAGAUAUCAGAGGUGACCCAGAAGUUCCCUUUCAUCAUCAUUUAUAGAGCGUUCAGAGUUCCGAGCUCUGUCGACGUCGCCAGCCUUGUGAAAUGCCAACUGGUCGUCGCUUCUUUCGGUGCUGACGGGAAACACGUAGAUGUUACUGGACUGCAAUUACCCGGCGUGCUGGAUGACAUGUUUGCAUACACAGGACCGCUCAGUGCGGUUUUCAGCGAGGACUCUAUGAGCCUGCACCUUUGGGCUCCUACAACACAGGAUGUGAGUGUGUGGUUCUUAGAUGGUCCGCAGGCCCUGCUCUAGAGAUGGUGCAGCUCAAGGAGUCAAAUGGUAUUUGGAGUGUUACAUGACCAAGAGAGUGGGAAAACCGAUACUAUUUAUAUGAAGUUGACGUGUAUCAUCCAACUAAAGCACAAAUUCUGAAAUGUUUAGCUGGUGACCUUUAUGCUAGAGGGUAUGUGGCUGUGCGCAUUUCAGUUAUGUAGUUCAGGGAGAGGAACUUUCCGCAGAAGAAAAAAGUUCAGGGAGAGGAAGAAACUAGCUUGUUGUUUAUUUUAUCAGCCUUUCUGCAAAUGGACCGUGGACCUGGUUGGUUGACAUUAACGAUGAAACAUUGAAGCCAGCUUCCUGGGAUGAAUUGGCCGAUGAGAAGCCAAAACUUGAUUCCUGCUCUGACAUAACCAUCUACGAAUUGCACAUUCGUGAUUUUAGUGCCCAUGAUGGCACAAUGGACAUUGACUCUCGUGGAGGAUUUCGUGCAUUUGCAUACUAGGCCUCAGCAGGAAUGUUUGACUCAUGUGCAUUUGUUGCCAAGCUUUCAUUUUGCUGGCGUUGACGACAUUAAGAGCAACUGGAAAUUUUUCGAUUGACUUAUUUGGUUAUACGGAACUUCAUUUACUCUGGCAAAGGAGUGUGAACUAGCAACAUUCCCUCCAGGAUCAGAUAUGCAACAAGCAGCAGUAGUAGCUAUUCAGGAAGAGGACCCUUAUAAUUGGGGGUAUUCAUUUCACACUUCUUUUUCCCUGAAACAUUCCAGAUACUAAUGUAUCAUGGUGGUGUUAAUAUCGGAAAGUUAAUUAUGUUCUUGCGAGUAAAAUAUUCUUACAUAUGGUCAUAUUUAUGCUAAAGGUAUGACUCUGUGCUUUGGAAGGUUCCAAAAGGAAGUUAUGCAAGUGAUUUCAUCAGGAAAGAGAUGCAGACGAGAGGAAGAGACCUCCCCCAAGCUCUGUCUAGGCGAUGCACGGGCGACGGCCACCCUUCCUAUUAUUGCCUCCAUGGCUGACUGAUC